UACGGAGGGUGCAAGCGUUAUCCGGAUUCACUGGGUUUAAAGGGUGCGUAGGUGGGUUGGUAAGUCAGUGGUGAAAUCUCCAGGCUUAACUUGGAAACUGCCAUUGAUACUAUCAAUCUUGAAUACCGUGGAGGUCAGCGGAAUAUGUCAUGUAGCGGUGAAAUGCUUAGAUAUGACAUAGAACACCAAUUGCGAAGGCAGCUGGCUACGCGGAUAUUGACACUGAUGCACGAAAGGCGUGGGGAUCAAACAGGAGUUAGAAACCCCAGUUAGUACCCA
rnacentral:rRNA from 1 species